UAAGCAUCACGUAGGUAAUAGAAACGCCAACAAAAUUGGCAAAGGUCCACUACUCGGUCAUUGAAAUCAACUGCAGUGAGAGAGAGAGAGAGAGGAAUCGAAAUACGCCAGCCUGUCAUUCAUUAUGCAUUCGACAUAUCCGUUUUCAUAUUUUACAGACCGGUAUAAGAUAUCAGCGAUAGAAGAUCCUGUGUGAUACGGGACCCGGUGACUCGACCUGACAAAAUUGCGUUACAAGGAAGUGGAGAAGGAGCCGAUAGGGAAUACGAACCCCCGCACUAUACAUUAUCCGCAUAAUUUACCAUUACGUAGCUGCAAAGUAUAAUUGUAGAGACCAAAAAAAUGUUGGCUGUAUUACGCUUCAAGAUUCAGUAGUUUCCUUGGCUCUGAUUAAAAUUCUUCGCUUUUAUUGCAUUGCACCGGUCGUUUGACCACCUUAGCUGUUGGUGUAAUUGUUGGUUGGAGAAAUUAAGGCGACGCGCAAAGCUCCUGCAGACACGGCACUGAAUGAAGGCGCCGUGGGACUUUUCGCUUUGAUACAUAUAGGAAAGAUGGUGAUAGUUGGUCCGUUUAUUUCCAUCCGAAACGAAUGACGACUAGCGCCAAAGAAAUCUAUAUAUAGAAGAACUAGGCACAACGCGCAAGAAAGCUGACGAGGCCUCUUCUUCAGCUAUUCUUUUAUUUGGUGUGUGCAUGUGUGCCCGGCUUGGAAGCUAAUGGCUAGCGACAUCUCGUCUCUCACUAAUGAAGAUCGUUGGUUGAAAAAAAAAAAAAAUAAAAAAGGUGGAAGUCUGAAAGUAGCAAUGUUUUUAUUUUUAUUUUUCUAGGCUUGUUGACAGUCCCUCUUGAAACUGCUUAGUAAUAAAAGCGUGCCAACCGUUGGUCAAAGCAGAGUCUUGUGCUCUAACAAAACUUAAAAAUCUUUUUAUAUUUUUACAAAGCUUGACUCAAACAACGUUUAUCAUACGUUGAUCAUUUAUACAUUAUUUGUUUGAAUUGACUAUCAGUAUGUUGUGCGAUAGUAAGCCAGACAUGAAAGGGAUUUCGACCCAGGUCAAAAUAUCUAAUGCUCAUAAGUAUUAUUAUUCCUUUUUGUGUACUAUCCCCUUUUUUCUUUUCUCUGCUGCUGGAGCUGUUUUGGCAGAGACUUGCCGGACACACGGUGUUGUUGUGCGAACGAAGCAGAGGUGAAGUCAUCCCACCAGAUUUAGAAUUUCAAAGAUAGGAAGUAGGAGGGCCGCGGACGAAUUCAAUCGGCGUGUACACCAACCGUACUACUACUACUACGAAAAAGAAAAAUUACAACAUUGUAUUCCGAUUGCACUCAACCGCGUAAGUCUACACUAACAACGCCUCUUAUCUUGAUUGGAAAAACGUCAAGGCUAUUUAAACGACAAGGAUAAAUAUCCGAUUUUCCCUCUUAUCUUGAGCUCGGAUGUAAGAUAAAAGUCGCCCUGGAGUAUGGAUGGUAUUCGGUUACAUUACUUGGCCAGGGGAAUGGGGGAUGCACAGUUAAAAAUUAUCUUUGAAAACGCACAACAUUCUUUGAAACCAAGGUAAAGAAAAUCACGUUUAAUAAUUGGUUGUCUGUGUGUUUAAGACUCAAAAAAGAGCUUUAUAGAGAGAAACCAUGGCGACGGGCAGACGGAAACGCGUUGGGUGUAUAGUAGCGUUGUUGCGUGGGAAU